UACGAAGGGGGCUAGCGUUGCUCGGAAUCACUGGGCGUAAAGGGCGCGUAGGCGGCCUGAUAAGUCGGGGGUGAAAGCCUGUGGCUCAACCACAGAAUUGCCUUCGAUACUGUUAGGCUUGAGUAUGGUAGAGGUUGGUGGAACUGCGAGUGUAGAGGUGAAAUUCGUAGAUAUUCGCAAGAACACCGGUGGCGAAGGCGGCCAACUGGACCAUUACUGACGCUGAGGCGCGAAAGCGUGGGGAGCGAUCCGG
rnacentral:rRNA from 1 species